rnacentral:rRNA from 1 species
GACGAACGCUGGCGGCGUGCUUAACACAUGCAAGUCGAACGAUGAAGCCGGAGCUUGCUCUGGUGAAUUAGUGGCGAACGGGUGAGUAACACGUGAGUAACCUGCCCUUGACUCUGGCAUAACUGCGGGACACUGUAGCUACUACCGGAUACGACCCUCGGACGCCUCUCCUGGGGGUGGAAAGAAUUUCGGUCAAGGAUGGACUCGCGGCCUAUCAGCUAGUUGGUGAGGUAAAGGCUCACCAAGGCGACGACGGGUAGCCGGCCUGAGAGGUGACCGGCCACACUGGGACUGAGACACGGCCCAGACGCCUACGGGAGGCAGCAGUGGGGAAUAUUGCACAAUGGGCGCAAGCCUGAUGCAGCAACGCCGCGUGAGGGAUGACGGCCUUCGGGUUGUAAACCUCUUUUAGCAGGGAAGAAGCGAAAGUGACGGUACCUGCAGAAAAAGCACCGGCUAACUACGUGCCAGCAGCCGCCGUAA